rnacentral:lncRNA from 1 species
GGAGCACAGGACAUGGGCAAAUCACAUGACACACAGAACCCUGACACAGGCUAGGUUCUGAGGAUGUGUAAUGGUUGGAAAUCUGCUGAAUACCAAAUGUUCUCCCUCUGCAUUGAAGAUCAUAAUCCAGAUCCUUCAUCAUUAUUCCUUCUGAUAAUGAAGACAUCUGUCUGCUUUGUGUGGAGCAGAGUGGCGACAAAUACGCACGCGAUUCACAUGCCGCCUUCUGCUGCUGCUCCACUGCCAGCCAGCAAUAUGGGGCAGCAUUUGGGCACUGAGCCCUGAAGACUUGAGUCUGCUUGCCUCUCUAAUGCCAGCAGUGCCCUCCAGUGCCUCCUCCUCACACGCACCCUGGCAGACUCCUUGUGCAAAGCCUGCAGGUAAGGUGAAGUGCCUGAGUGAGCAAGAUCAACACAAACUGAUUGCUUCAUGCUAACUCUUUGUUAGCAGUGCUAAACAGCAGAUUUCCUUCUUGGGACACUGUAUUGUUUAAUCAGCUUGUGGCUUUGUUUGGUUUGUUUUGAUGGUAGAUUUCAAGUAAGUGGCAGCUUUUCAUCAUUCCUAAUGGGAUUUGGAAAAUAAAAUCUGUCUAGAAAA